rnacentral:rRNA from 1 species
UGUUUCGGCUAGGGGGUCAUCCCGACUUACCAACCCGAUGCAAACUACGAAUACCGAAGAAUGUUAUCACGGGAGACACACGGCGGGUGCUAACGUCCGUCGUGAAGAGGGAAACAACCCAGACCGCCAGCUAAGGUCCCAAAGUCAUGGUUAAGUGGGAAACGAUGUGGGAAGGCACAGACAGCCAGGAUGUUGGCUUAGAAGCAGCCAUCAUUUAAAGAAAGCGUAAUAGCUCACUGGUCGAGUCGGCCUGCGCGGAAGAUGUAACGGGGCUAAACCAUGCACCG